rnacentral:rRNA from 1 species
AUUGAACGCUGGCGGCAGGCCUAACACAUGCAAGUCGAGCGGAUGAAGGGAGCUUGCUCCUGGAUUCAGCGGCGGACGGGUGAGUAAUGCCUAGGAAUCUGCCUGGUAGUGGGGGAUAACGUCCGGAAACGGGCGCUAAUACCGCAUACGUCCUGAGGGAGAAAGUGGGGGAUCUUCGGACCUCACGCUAUCAGAUGAGCCUAGGUCGGAUUAGCUAGUUGGUGGGGUAAAGGCCUACCAAGGCGACGAUCCGUAACUGGUCUGAGAGGAUGAUCAGUCACACUGGAACUGAGACACGGUCCAGACUCCUACGGGAGGCAGCAGUGGGGAAUAUUGGACAAUGGGCGAAAGCCUGCUCCAGCCACGCCGCGUGUGUGAAGAAGGUCUUCGGAUUGUAAAGCACUUUAAGUUGGGAGGAAGGGCAGUAAGUUAAUACCUUGCUGUUUUGACGUUACCAACAGAAUAAGCACCGGCUAACUUCGUG